rnacentral:ncRNA from 1 species
GUAGUGUAUGAAAGGAGGGAAGGUUAGCACUCCCCUUGACAAAGAUGGAAGAGGCCUUUGGGCCUGACAAUACAUGUGAAAGUAAGGACUAUUUUUA